rnacentral:rRNA from 1 species
CAAUCUGCCUUGGAGUGGGGAAUAACGGCUGGAAACAGCCGCUAAUACCGCAUGAUACAGCUGGGAGGCAUCUCCCUGGCUGUCAAAGAUUUAUCGCUCUGAGAUGAGCUCGCGUCUGAUUAGCUAGUUGGCGGGGUAACGGCCCACCAAGGCGACGACCAGUAGCCGGACUGAGAGGUUGGCCGGCCACAUUGGGACUGAGACACGGCCCAGACUCCUACGGAAGGCAGCAG